rnacentral:misc_RNA from 1 species
GAUAAAAUGACAGAUAAACUUUGUAUCAUCAACCGAGUUUGACAAAACUCAACACAUCAUCUAUAUUGUAUACAAUCCAAUUAUACAAUUUUGUUUAUUGUUUGUAUACGGUUCAUUUAGAAAUGAUUUUUUUCUCUAUCAGGACGGUGUUUGAAAGAUAAAUAGUUAUGGAUACCGUACAUCGCACGUGUGUUUUACUCAUAUAUACUUCUAUAGUUUUGGCUACAUGCGCAUUUGGUGCAGAAACGUUAUCUAGACAAAAACGAGUGAUCGGUGGAACUGAAAUCUCAAAAGGCCACAGUCCUUGGUUGGUGUCUUUGCACGGGAAAAUUGUGACAGAGAGGUUAUUUGGUAUCAUACCAAUACGUCACAGGCACGUGUAUUGUGGUGGCUCUCUCCUUAAUGACCGAUACGUCCUUACAGCCGCACACUGCUUUGAUUCAGGACGAGAUGUUGACGAGUGGGAAGUUAGGCUGGCAACAGUUGAUCUAAAGGUUGCCCUAGCCGACAGAUUUAUGGAUUUUCUAGGAAAAACACUUGGAAAAAAAGACUGGCGUAUCUGGGAAAUAGACGUGUCAAAAAUCAUCAUACAUCCGGGAUACAAUAAAAAUGAUUUGUGGUAUCAGGAUAUAGCCUAUCGUCAAGCUAGAGGACCCGGUGCCGUCUGGUCCAAGGUUCGAGCAUAUCAAGAGGAUUCAACUUCCAGACGGUUUCGACUUCAGGCUUUCCAGCCAAGGGAAGCAACUGCCAUAUGGCUGGUUGGGGAUGUACUGCGGCCGGUGGGGGUAUAUCUCGCUAUGCCAUGUCCGUACAGCUACCUAUUUUAGAUGACACUGAAUGUGGUUACUAUUACAAUCUACGAACCAUGUUUGGUAGACUUUGUGCAGGCUUCAAAUCCAGUAGUAACAGUGGAGGAAUUUGUCCGGGAGACAGCGGAGGUCCUUUAGUUUGCCAGAAUUACCUAGGGGAAUGGACUCAAGUGGGUAUAGCAAGUUUUACCAGUAAAGCAAGGCCAGAGAAAUUUCCAGCUGUGUUUACACGUGUGUCCGACUAUGUCACGUGGAUAAAGAGUUACACUGAAUAUUAAAUAAUAUGGUAGCAAAAUUAACUCUAUAAAUCUAGCACAUUUUCGGAGGAUUCAGACCAUCAAAAUAAGUACAACCAUGUUGCGUUGAAAUUAUACGUUACGUCACCUAGACGGGUUACACAUCAUCUUGCAGAUCAAUUAGAAAUUAACCUUUCGAAUAAUGUAUGUCGUGCAUCAUUUGUCGUAUAUUUUAAGGCUUGGUACUGAAAUUGUAAAUGAUUGCUAACUAUCCGUUCAUACACAUAAUAUCAUAGAAUACAUCAAAAUACAAUA